rnacentral:rRNA from 1 species
UACGUAGGGUGCGAGCGUUGUCCGGAAUUAUUGGGCGUAAAGAGCUCGUAGGCGGUGUGUCGCGUCGGUCGUGAAAACUUGGGGCUUAACUCUGAGCUUGCGGUCGAUACGGGCAUCACUGGAGUUCGGCAGGGGAGACUGGAAUUCCUGGUGUAGCGGUGAAAUGCGCAGAUAGUCGAGGAGGAACACCGGUGGCGAAGGCGGGUCUCUGGG